AUUGAACGCUGGCGGCAGGCCUAACACAUGCAAGUCGAGCGGAUGAAGGGAGCUUGCUCCUGGAUUCAGCGGCGGACGGGUGAGUAAUGCCUAGGAAUCUGCCUGGUAGUGGGGGAUAACGUCCGGAAACGGGCGCUAAUACCGCCUACGUCCUGAGGGAGAAAGGGGGGGAUCUUCGGACCUCACGCUAUCAGAUGAGCCUAGGUCGGAUUAGCUAGUUGGUGGGGUAAAGGCCUACCAAGGCGACGAUCCGUAACUGGUCUGAGAGGAUGAUCAGUCACACUGGAACUGAGACACGGUCCAGACUCCUACGGGAGGCAGCAGUGGGGAAUAUUGGACAAUGGGCGAAAGCCUGAUCCAGCCAUGCCGCGUGUGUGAAGAAGGUCUUCGGAUUGUAAAGCACUUUAAGUUGGGAGGAAGGGCAGUAAGUUAAUACCUUGCUGUUUUGACGUUACCAACAGAAUAAGCACCGGCUAACUUCGUG
rnacentral:rRNA from 1 species